rnacentral:misc_RNA from 1 species
UCCGUUUCAAGUCUGGGGAUUAAAAAAAAUUUCAGGAUAAUUUCCUAAAAAAAAAAUCAUUACAAGGCACUGAACUGAACUCCAACAUCAUUCUAAUUCUAUACUACCAUAUGGCCAUGCAACUGCUAACAUAAGAAAACUCUUGAAUUCCAAAUAUAUGGCACUGCCCAUACUAAUUUAACCUGCUGCAACUGUAGCUUCUAAGAGAACAAAAUGGUUAAAAGUAAAAUGCCAGGAGGAAAAAAAAAGUUAAAAUAGAAACACUCAUACAAUAAGAUGAGAGAAGAUGCUACAACAAAAGUGAGAUGAGCAUAAAAACCAUUAGAUUGUCUCCCAUGGAUCCAACUCUUCCCCUGCAACAAUCAGAUUUUGAGUUGUUCCAUCUGUUGAACUGUCUCAAAUUCUUUCAGCUUUGGGCUCCCAGUUUCCUCCACUUGACCUGGUGAUUUAUUUGGCAAGAAGGCAGCAGCAGUAGCAGUUGGAUGAUCUUUCAUAAUGUUUAAAGGAUCUUCCUUUUGUACAGCUUGAGAUUCUGCUUUCUGAACAGGUGAAUGAUCUUUUUGAUUAGCCUGAGAUUCUUCUUUCUGAACAAGCGAAUGAUCUUUUUGAACAGCCUGAGGUUCUUCUUUCUGAACAGGUAAAUGAUCGUUUUGAAUGCCCACAGAAUCUUCUUUCUGAGCAGCCAGAUGAUCUUUUCUAACAUUCAUAGGAUCUUCUUUUCGAACGGGUGGUGGAGUAGCAUAUGCUAGUGAAGUUGGCCUAAUG